rnacentral:misc_RNA from 1 species
GAUGAAGAACGCAGCGAAAUGCGAUAAGUAAUGUGAAUUGCAGAAUUCAGUGAAUCAUCGAAUCUUUGAACGCACAUUGCGCCCGCCAGUAUUCUGGCGAGCAUGCCUGUUCGAGCGUCAUUUCAACCAUCAAGCCCCAGGCUUGUGUUGGAGCCCUGCGGCUGCCGCAGCCUCCCAAAACCAGUGGCGGGCUCGCUAUCACACCGAGUGCAGUAGUUUACUCUUCGCUCAGGGCGUGUGGCGGGUGCUAGCCGUGAAACCCCCAACUUCUCAAGGUUGACCUCGGUUCAGGUAGGAAUACCCGCUGAACUUAAGCAUAUCAAUAAGCGAGGA